UCUGCAGCCCGACUUGAGUGGAAAUCCUUUUUGUAGAGCGAAGCGAAACAAAAAGAUUGGGAACGGAAGGCGGAAAUGUCU
rnacentral:sRNA from 1 species